AGCGAACGCUGGCGGCAGGCUUAACACAUGCAAGUCGAGCGGGCAUCCUUGUGGUGUCAUCGGCUGACGUUUGAGUAACGCGUGGGAACGUGCCCUUCUUUUCGUACUAACUCUUGGAAACUUGAUCUAAUACCGGAUACGCCCUUUUGGGGAAAGGUUUACUGCCGAAGGAUCGGACCGCUUCUGAUUAGCUAGUUUUUGAGGUUAUGGCUCACCAAUGCGACGAUCAGUAGCUUGUCUGAGAGGCUGAUCAGCCACACUGGGACUGAGACACGGCCCAGAAUCCUACGGGAGGGAGCAGUGGGGAAUAUUGGAAAACGGGGGCAACCCUGAACGAGCCAUGACGCGUGAGUGAUGACGGCCUUAGGGUUGUAAAGCUCUUUUAUCCGGGACGAUAAUGACGGUACCGGAGGAAUAAGCCCCGGCUAACUUCGUG
rnacentral:rRNA from 1 species